AUGGGAGCCCAGCUGCAGGACAGCGAUCGGGAGGCUGGCUCGCAGACAGCGGGAAAAGACCCAGGAGGAGCCAUCUGUCCCCCAAAGCUGGAACACAGUCCCGGUGUUCCCUGCACUGGACCUCCCCACCUCCACCCCACAGCCCACCCUCCAAAGCCAGCAGUUAGCCUGGCACAUACAGGUGACAGUCCCGAGGCCAGCAUUGACCACUGUUCUGUCCCCACAGCCUCCAUCCACGGCCCAUCUGUCUACCCCUUGCGUUCCUGUUGCAAAAGUGCUACCAAUGCCACCUCUGUGACGCUGGGCUGCCUGGCCACGGGCUACUUCCCAGGCCCAGUGACCAUGACCUGGGACACAGCAUCCCUGAACAGGAGCACGCUGACCUUCCCUGCCAUCCAAAACUUGAACUCCAGCCUCUACACCACCAGCAGCCAGGUGACACUCUCGGGCGAGUGGUCCAAGCAGAAGCUCACCUGCAGCGUGGCCCACGUUGCGUCCAACACCACCACCACCAAGGCCGUCACUGGGUGCACCAAGAGCUUCACCGACCCCACCGUGAAGCUCUUUUACUCCUCCUGCGACCCCCGUGGCGACACCCAUACCACCAUCCAGCUCCUGUGCCUCAUCUCCGGCUACACCCCAGGCAAAAUCAAGGUCACCUGGUUGGUGGACGGGCGUGAGGCCACAGACGUGUUCCCACACACCGGCCCCGAAAAGGUGGAGGGCAAACUGGCCUCCACCUACAGCGAGCUCAACAUCACGCAGGGCCAGUGGGUGUCCCAACUCACCUACACCUGCCGGGUCACCUAUUAUGGCUUCAACUACGACAACCACGCCCGCAGGUGCACAGCCGAGUCCGAGCCCCGUGGCGUGAGCGCCUACCUGAGCCCACCCACGCCCCUCGACCUGUACAUCAACAAGUCACCCAAGAUCACCUGCCUGGUGGUGGACCUGGCCAGCAAAAAGGACGUUGUACUGACCUGGUCCAGGGAGAACAAAGAUCUAGUGCCUUCAGACUCGCUAGUCUUCAAGGAUGAGUUCAACGGGACGGUCACCGUCACGUCCACCCUGCUGGUGGACGUCAGUGACUGGCUCAAGGGCGACACCUACUACUGCAAAGUGACCCACCCACACCUACCCAAGGAGAUCCUGCGCUCCAUCUCCAAGGGCCCUGGCAGGCGCAUGGUUCCCGAGGUCUACGUGUUCCCGCCACCCAAGGAGGAGCUCAAGACCAAGGGCGAGGUCACCCUCACCUGCCUGAUCCAGAACUUCUUCCCUGCGGACAUCUCCGUGCAGUGGCUGCGGAACGACGCCCUGAUGCAGGCGGACCAGCACACCAUCACGAGGCCCCACAAGGUCCGCAGCCCCACCCCCGACUUCUCCGCCUACUUCAUCUACAGCCACCUGGUGGUCAGGCGGGCCGACUGGGAGCAGAAGAGCAAAUUCACCUGCCAAGUGGCGCACGAGGCGCUGCCCGGCUCAAGGACGCUCAAGAGAUCGACGUCCAUCAACCUUGAGCUGGCCCUGGAGGACCUGUGCACAGAGGAGGCCGAGAGUGACGAGCUGGAGGGGACGCAGACCGGCCUCCUAACCUUCGUGGCGCUCUUCCUGCUUAGUGUGAGCUAUGGCGCUGCCGUCACCCUCUGCAAGGUGAAGUGGGUCCUGGCUGCUGUCCUGCAGAAGCAGCCGCAGGCUUCCGGCGACUACAGGAACGCCGCACAGCCCUGCCUUUUCCCUCGUGUGAGCGUCCCCGAGGCUGCCAGCUCGACCCUGGGCCAGAGGAAGGAGCAGACCAGCCCCCAAGGGGCCAGAGCCAGGGGCCCAGCGUCCAGCACACGGGCGCUGAGAGGCCCCAGCUCAGCCCCAAGGUCGAAGGCAACAGGGGGCCCGCCUUACACAGCCCCACACCACCCCACUUUGGGGCAAGUCCCAGAAGAGCAUCUGUUCCCUCCACAGAGAGACCUGGGCUGGGCGUGGGUGCUGACCACCCCAGGCUUCUCCCAGGCCCCUGGGCUCGGGCCCACACCGGGUCUGACUGAACAACCCCUGAAACACAGCGACGGCCUUGAGCCCAUGGCCCAGCCCACGCUGGAGCCCAGAGCCAGAUCUAGGACUCAGAGUCUCCACCAGCCCGAUCCAGCGUCUGAGUCCAGCCCAGCCGAGCCAAGGGCUCACUCCCCAGGCUCAGUCCCGCCCUCAGUGCCCCCAGGGCCAAGUGCGCUGCCACCCAUGCCCUGCUCCUGUCCCCUGCCCACCCUCCCUGCUGUCCACCCCCAGGCCCCAUUCGUGCAGAAUGAGGAUGCAGAGAAGACCUUCUGGGGAAGGUCCAGGGGAGUUUCCAGGGCUGCAGGCAGGGCCCUAGGCUGUGAGGCAGGGUCCCACAGCAGAAGGCGCUUCCCAAGGGGUCCGCAGUGUGGCCACAUCAGCCCUGCAGCACCCACCCACAUCCCCCAUGCCCUCGUUCGACCUCUCUCCUAACUUUUCCUAGUAAAGUUCAAUAAAGAAUCCCAUGCCAG